GGCGGACGGGUGAGUAAUGCCUGGGAAAUUGCCCUGAUGUGGGGGAUAACCAUUGGAAACGAUGGCUAAUACCGCAUAAUGCCUUCGGGCCAAAGAGGGGGACCUUCGGGCCUCUCGCGUCAGGAUAUGCCCAGGUGGGAUUAGCUAGUUGGUGAGGUAAUGGCUCACCAAGGCGACGAUCCCUAGCUGGUCUGAGAGGAUGAUCAGCCACACUGGAACUGAGACACGGUCCAGACUCCUACGGGAGGCAGCAGUGGGGAAUAUUGCACAAUGGGCGCAAGCCUGAUGCAGCCAUGCCGCGUGUAUGAAGAAGGCCUUCGGGUUGUAAAGUACUUUCAGUCGUGAGGAAGGUUCAUGCGUUAAUAGCGUAUGGAUUUGACGUUAGCGACAGAAGAAGCACCGGCUAACUCCGUGCCAGCAGCCGCGGUAAUACGGAGGGUGCGAGCGUUAAUCGGAAUUACUGGGCGUAAAGCGCAUGCAGGUGGUUCGUUAAGUCAGAU
rnacentral:rRNA from 1 species